rnacentral:rRNA from 1 species
CCUACGGGUGGCUGCAGUGAGGAAUAUUGGUCAAUGGACGCAAGUCUGAACCAGCCAAGUAGCGUGCAGGAUGACGGCCCUCCGGGUUGUAAACUGCUUUUAGUUGGGAAUAAAAGGCGGCUCGUGAGCCCUGUAUUGUAUGUACCAUCAGAAAAAGGACCGGCUAAUUCCGUGCCAGCCGCCGCGGUAAUACGGAAGGUCCGGGCGUUAUCCGGAUUUAAUGGGUUGAAAGGGAGCGUAGGCCGGCUUUUAAGUCAGCUGUGAAAGUCCGUGGCUCAACCGUGGAAUUGCAGUUGAAACUGGAGGCCUUGAGUACAGACAGGGAUGCCGGAAUUCAUGGUGUAGCGGUGAAAUGCUUAGAUAUCAUGAAGAACACCGAUCGCGAAGGCAAGUGUCCAGAGUGCAACUGACGCUGAGGCUCGAAAGUGUGGGUAUCAAACAGGAUUAGAUACCCUAGUAGUC